CCUGUGUCUGGAAGUAUUUCACGCGUGGCUGCCAUGUCACUGGCUGGUCAGUUAGGUGGUAGCUAGGAGAGAAGCUAUGUCUAUGUUCAGGGUUCUGACCUGUGAACAUCUGAAUGAUUAGUAGCCUAACAUU
ensembl:snoRNA